rnacentral:rRNA from 1 species
UACGGAGGGUGCAAGCGUUAAUCGGAAUUACUGGGCGUAAAGCGUGCGCAGGCGGUUUGUUAAGUCCGUUGUGAAAGCCCCGAGCUCAACUUGGGAAUUGCAGUGGAUACUGGCAGGCUGGAGUACGGUAGAGGAAGGUGGAAUUCCCGGUGUAGCAGUGAAAUGCGUAGAUAUCGGGAGGAACACCAGUGGCGAAGGCGGCCUUCUGGACCAGUACUGACGCUCAUGCACGAAAGCGUGGGGAGCAAAAGGG